CCUUAGAACAUUGAAAGGCUAGAAUUAGUAAACAACAACUUUGUUUGAGUCCAACAUGUGCACAGGGGCAAGAGGGGUGUUUUGUUUACAAACAUAUUUGCCGAUUCUCUGUUGUCAAGUCGACGCAAAUUUCCAACGGAGGAAAUUUUUAGCUAUAUUUUAACAACCAUUAUAACGUUAAUUUAACUUAUUUGUGUUGUAUUUUAUAGGAAAAUUUAAAAUAAAAAGUAUAAAUACUACAAUUAACCUAUUUUAAGAAUAAAUAUAAUAUCCUUAAGCAAAAAAAAAACAAAAUUACUAACAUUGUUAUCCCUAAAACUGCUUCUAAAAAAUUUGAAGCGACAACAUCGGAGCUUAAGCGUCUGAGCCAUACGCGUAGUGUCAUCUGGCAAACGGCUUUUUGUUUAUUUUCGGGAUUCGUGUAUUUUCUUUAAUCUUCGGUUUCAAAAGGAAAAAGGCCACAUUUUAGUGUUUUUUUAAAUUGCUAGGAUGGGAAAAACUUGUGUCGUUUGUGCCGCAUCAUGAUAAAAAGGUGAUUCAAGCCGAUCUUUUCACAAGUAAGUACCGAUACUUUCAUAACAUCACUUCAUGGGGUAACCAUCAUCAUAAACGUAGAAUAGGGGAUCUUAUAGAUAUAAACCUAAUAAAAACUUGAAUGUGAAAGUGUGCGUAAAAUACCAAAAUAUUCAUAUUUUUAAAUCUAAAUAUUUUUUUGAACAUAUUCAUCUAUCAAUAGGCUAUAAAAAUAUAAAACUAGAAUUUUGUCCCUGGUUUUAUUACAGGAUUUUAUGUUUUUUUGUUGUUGUUUUGGCAGAAAGAAGGCAUACCUAAUAACCAUGUACCUAUCUAUGUAUAGUUAUGUUUUUUUAAUAUAGACAUUAGGUAGAUAGAUGAAAUUACUAAUUUUUUAUUGCCGUUAAAGAAUUUUGAAAAUUAUUUAGAUAUUGAUAUCUAUGUAUAAAGUUAAUUUUGUCUUUCCCUAAAAUUUGGUCGAUAUUUUUUUUUGUUUUACCAUAUUGCAACUUACAAUAAUAUAUAUAGAAAUUGGCACCACAUAUUAAUUCAUUACUGUAAUUUUUUUUUGCUUUUUGAUUAAAUAUCAAAUACUUAUUAUAGAUUGCCUAAUAUAUGCCCAAAGGGAACAAUGGAUUUCAUUAAUGGAAAUCAACAAAAUUAAACAGAACAUAUUUGUUUGUUCAGAUCACAUCCUUAGAAGUGAUUUCUUAUAUAAGGAAGAUAAUAUUAUCAGUAGCCAGACUUAGACCAAACAGAUUAAAAAAAUCAGCUCUACCUCAAAGGUAAUUUUUUUUUAAAUAUAUUUUUCUAGUAUAAAAAAAUCGUCACAAAAAGGAUUAGUGCUACUCAUAUAAGCUUUAUUUAUACCUAAUACUUAUUAAAUUAGGUAUGUAUGUAAAACUAUUUUUUUACUAGGAUUUCUGAUGCACUGGUUAAAAACACAGCAGCUGAUAAUUCAGUUAAUUUACCAAGUGAUUUACCCUUCAAAGCUGCAGGAAUAGCUUUCCUGAAGAGUGCAAAAACUUCUUUAGCUUCCAAAAUGGUAUAUAGUACAAACAGUGAAGCUGAUAUAGACAAAUCUGAUCAUUCAUCAUCAACAAUAACUGCAUCUGAGAUUAAUAGUUCUACAGUAACCGUGGGGUCUAGGUCAACAAUUACUAUUUCUCAUCCAAGCCCUUUUUGUUUAACUGGUACACAUUCCCUGACUCUGCCAAGGAAAAGGUAAAAAUACACUCAAAAUAGACUACUAGUUUUAUGCCAUGUAUCAUCCUAUUCUAUAUAUCUUAUUUAAAAGUGAUAUAGUAUUUUAUUGUGUUAUAUUUGUUUAAUUAAAUGCAAUUAAUUGGUAAUACUAUAUUUUUAUGUAUAUUAUUCUAGGGUAAAAUCAAAAUGAUAUCCUGAGGACCUAAGCACUGAUGAUUCCACCGUUUCAAAAGCUAAAUCACUUGUUACCAAAUUAUGGAAAAAAAAUAAAGAGCAAAAAAUUAAAAUUCGAAGAUUGCAAUAAACAAAUUUGCCCCAAAGAAAUUGAAUUAGAUGUCUCAAGUCAUUAUUAAAAUACUUAAGAAAUAAUAACAUGAUUUUUGAAAAAGCCCAACAUACUACAUAUUUUAUUUGACUUGUAAAAGUACUUGUUUGUAUAUUUUUACUAAUAAACUAUUUAAUCUAA